rnacentral:rRNA from 1 species
UACAUAGGGUGCGAGCGUUAACCGGAAUUAUUGGGCGUAAAGCGUGCGUAGGCGGCUAUCUAAGUCGGGUGUGAAAGCCCCGGGCUCAACCUGGGAAUUGCAUUCGAGACUGAAUAGCUAGGGUGCGGUAGAGGGAAGCGGAAUUUCCGGUGUAGCGGUGAAAUGCGUAGAUAUCGGAAGGAACAUCAGUGGCGAAGGCGGCUUCCUGGGCCAGCACCGACGUUCAGGCACGAAAGCGUGGGGAGCAAACAGG